ACCGGUUUUCGUUCGAUCAUUAUAGUUAAGCAUCGUAGAACCUGGCCAGUACUUUGAUGGGAGACUGCUUGGGAAUAACAGGUACUGUA